AUGUCCGGGUCAGCAGCAGCAGGCGGAGAAGACCUCGGCGGCGGCCAGUUCUACGGCGACCAUCCGCCUGCCGACGACGGCUUCUUCCAGAGUCGUUCGGCGUGCGGCGGUGAAGGCGAUGGUGGUGUCACGCCGUCGGUCUACUCCAGCAUCACCGACUACCUGCAGGGGCUCCUCGACCCCGCGGAGCUCGCCAGGCACCUGGACGCGCCUCCGUGCUACCCGGCGAUGAGAGACGUGAUCGGCGAGACGGCGACCCCGGUCACGCCCAACUCGUCGACGUCCGGCGAGGCGGCGGGGGCUGAGUCCCACGGAUGCAAGAGAGGCAGUCCGGUGCCGGAGGAGGGAGACGAGGACGGAUCGGCUGAUCAUCACAACCACAGGAGCGACGAGAAGGAGCAGAAGAAGAAGAGGAAGGGGGAGAAGAAGGCGCGCGGCUCCCGUGUGGCCUUCGCAACCAAGAGCGAGGUCGACCACCUCGACGAUGGCUACCGCUGGCGCAAGUAUGGCCAGAAGGCCGUCAAGAACAGUUCUUUCCCAAGGUACUACCUCCUUACAUUCACCCCUAUGCGUAUGUGUUUCGAAAAGAAAAAACAUGCCUUCCACUUCUCAGUUUUGCUCCUGUAG
rnacentral:rRNA from 1 species